ACACUCAGAUAAACAAGACGGAUAACACUGAAAUGAAAUACAGACAAUGCAGUGGAUUUUCAACAAUAACUACAAAAAGGACUGAACAAAGAGACAAACAAUGAAUGUGGGCUUGCCUAGGAAAUACAGUAGAAAUGUCAAAAAAAGUUAAAUGAAUGAGAGGGGUACUACAAUCCUCCACCCCAGGAAACCACAGCAAGGUGCCGUGGAUCCUCUCUGAAGCCUGACGUUCAGGUUGUUCAUAUU
rnacentral:lncRNA from 1 species